rnacentral:misc_RNA from 1 species
UUAAUAUUUCACAGAGAUGCAACAAGGGUGGAAGCUCUUAUGCGGUAAAAAAAUCCAACAUUUCACAGAGAUGAUAAUGGUAGGGUGCUCUUCGUAGAAUUAUAAAUUCACUAUUCAUAAAACAAAGCCUCAUCCACAGAACAAACAGCUGCCUCUAUAUAGUUCUUGAUAGGCUAUUUGCUUCUUUUCAUGGAGCCAACUUCGAUUUUCAAGAAGGGUGAUGCUCCUGAUUCAGGAACCGACAAGUCUCCAAGAAACCUUACAAAAUAUAAAGAGAUCAUCUCAACCCUUACUCAAAAACGUAGCUGGCUUCCAUCUCAACCACUCCACGAAUACCAAGGAUUUUGGUGCUAUCCAACUUUCCUGGAAGGCAUCAUGUCAGCACAAGAACACUUCAUAGCUCAACCUACAGAUAUUUUCACUUGCACCCAUCCAAAAUGUGGCACCACUUGGCUUAAAUCCAUGUGUUUUGCCGUUCUGACAAGAAGAAAUUUCAGUGAUUCCUCCUCAAACCCUUUACUUACCGAGUCGCCACAUGAAAUUGUACCCUGGAUUGACUUUUUAGCUUCCAGUGGCCAAACUAGAGACCCCGAACUUCCACUUUUGGCCACACACAUUCCCUACACGUCCUUGCCCAAGUCCAUUGUAGAGUCCAACUGUAAAAUUAUUUACACCUGCAGGGAUCCCAAGGAUGUGUUUAUUUCGCUGUGGCAAUUUGCUGGCAUUGUGAGCGGUUCAAGAGCAGAAGACUUUCCACUGGAGGAGGCAUACCAGAAAUUUUGUGAAGGAGUCCAUCCUUACGGUCCUUAUUGGGAUCAUGUUCUAGGGUAUUGGAAAGCACACCUUCAAUUUCCAGAUCGAGUGCUCUUUAUCAAAUAUGAAGAUCUAAAGAAUGACACCUUCUCCUAUGUGAAGAGAAUGGCAGAGUUCAUGGGAUGCCCUUUGUCCAUGGAAGAAGAGAGUCAAGGAUUGGUGCAAAAAAUUGUCGACUUGUGCAGCUUUGAGAGUCUGAGCAAUGUGGAGGUGAAUAAGAGUAAAAAGAGGAGCUCUGCAACAGGAGCUUUCAAGCUUCAAUACGAUGCAUUUUUUAGGAAAGGUAAGAUUGGGGAUUGGGAGAACUAUUUGACAGUUGACAUGGCAGCUCAACUUGACCAAAUAACCGAGCAGAAGCUCAGUGGAACUGGCUUGUCUUUCCCAACUUCAUAUAACAGCCCUGUGUCAUAAUUUUAUGUGGUUUGCUUCUUCCAUUGAUGCUCUUAUAGUGUAGAAGGCUUUCAGUCAUUAUCUAUAUAUAGUUUUCAAUAAAUUAAAUUUUAAUGUUGAUCAUUCUUCUACGAUGAACCUAAUUCUCCCAAAAUAAACUGAAAUUUCUUACUAUUUUCAUGCGAUUGUGAUGCAUACAUUUUGCAUAGUCA